AUCAAGAUGAUGCUGGAUUCUGGGCAGGCAGAUCAGGAUGGCUCAGUGUGGAAAGGGGUGGAUGAAGGGCAGUAUGAGAGAGCACACCUGAGUUUCCUGGGUACUCACUCCUGGUCUCUGUUCAUGAAAUUAGGCAAACAGGCAUCAGAAGGAAAAGCUUCUCCAAGCAGUGCACAUCUGCUGUGGAAGCCUUUGCACCAGUGUCAAAAGUCUUUAAGUGUUAGAAACGUGCUUUAAUUCAGAGAAGAAAAAUCAGAGAGGAGAGCUUAGGAAGCCCAGAGGAGCAAGAUGUGAUUUCUGUGAGGUCCCUGGGCAUUGAAUUGUUGGAGGUUAGGAAAGGAUUUCUAAGAAGCACUCCCACAAUCUUUGUCUGCUCAUUAAGUCUUUUCUCUCGGCCACAUUUGGAGACAAAGUGCUGGGUUAACUGGGCCUCUCACCUGCCACAGCUGAGCCUGUGUUGUGUUAGAUUCCCUUCAGUCCUGUAACAACCACUGCCUGCAUGAAGAGGUAACACUGAAAUAAUUUGACAUAGCAGACAUUUUUAAGCUGAAGUUUAGCAGCUGUAAUCAUGGGGCACUGGUACCCUGGGAUUGACUGUCUGGUGUUCUUCAUGCAGCAGUGAUCACAGAAUUAUCUGCAAAAAUCUGUUGUGAGAGAAACAUCCAGAUGUAGGAGCAGAGCUUGGAAAAUGAGACACAGAGAUCUUCAAUUUCAGUCCCCUAAUAUUCUAAGGACUAUGUCACAUAAUCCCUUUUAUAAACUGUUCAGGCUUCAUUAUGAUUAAAUUUAUUGGCCUCCAUUUUUCCUGGAAAGCUGUUCCAGAGCUUCACUGCUCUGCUGAUUAGAAACCUUUUAAUUUCCAAGUGAAAUUUAAUAUGACAAGUUUAUACUGUUCUGGAGAAGUGUUACAGUUCCUCUCCACACACACAUCACAGAGCAAAUAGCAACAAGGGAAAAAAGCAAUUCAAGUUAAAAACAGUAAUAGCACCAAAGCAUUGCUGGCUGAGAGGUUUCCUCCAAUUUUAGAUGCAGAUCCCACUGCAACCUUUAAUUCUUUCGUAAUAAGCUACUUACUGAGGGAACUCAGUCUGUUCAGAUCAGCUCUGGUUUAUAUCUACAAAUGCAUAAUAACCUCUGUCCCACUAAUGAAUCACUGGGGCUGUCAUAACUUUAAUGAACACAUUUCUUUCUGGAGGUGUUGAUCACCUAAAAGCGCUCGCUGGUUUUUCCUGUCUUGAAUGAUUGUAUUGAAUGUGGUAAGUGCAAUCACAUCUCCAGAGAGUUUAUCUGCAGAGGCUGCACCAGAGAGAGAGCACUGGAGCUGGAAAGGAGGAGAUUUCUGUUCACAGCUCUCUCACAUGCACCAGGUGUGACCCUGCAGAGCUUUGGUGCUGAGGGGUCCCCCAAGUUGGGCUGGAGCAGCUCCCCAGCAAAUGGUGGGGUCACCAUCCCUGGAGGAAUUUAAGGCAUGAAGUUGUGGUUCUUAAAAGCCUGGUUUAGUGCUGGGCACUGCUGGGUUUAAGGUUGGAUGUGAUGAUCUCAAAGGUCUCUUCUGACUGAACUGAUUUUGUGGUUCUGAGGUUUGGUUUUUCAGCCACAGAUCCACAGCUUCUAUUUUGUCUCUAACUCAGGUCAGCCACAUUUCAUGGGACAAGAAUUGUUCCUUCCACACCAGUAGAGUGUUCGACUUGGCCAAAACCUCUGAUCACUACAAAAACAUUAAUGGCUGCUCCUGAACAUCAGGAAUUACCCCAGCAGGACAUCCCAGAGAGGAGCAGUCCUGAUGGUGCACACAGGUGUUCCAAGGCUGGGAAGCUCAAAUCCAUCAGAAAAAUAGUGGCAAAGACCAAGAACUGAAGAAAAGCAAUUUCUGACCUAAUUCAGGCAUCUUGAGAAGACUUUACCAGUAACCAGAGAUUUAUCUAUCUCCAUAAAAUCCCCUCUAGACAUUUGUGAGCUG